AUGUGGCCUCCCAGUGCCUAUCGCCUGGGGGCUUUGCACCUGUGAGGGAAGCUCAGGCUGGUCUUUCAGGGAGCCAGGGGGGUCCCUCUUGAAGCAAUCCUCCUCGCCUUCAGCCUUGUGUUUCCAAAGCCUUUCAGCACCAAGUAACAGGUUGAUUCCUUUUAAAAUGUGGGGAGCGGAUUGGGAAGCAACUGCCUGGGCACGUUCCUCAGGAAGGGAUGUGGAGAAGGUCCUGAAGCAACAGAGCCAACUGACCAUGGACUGAAACAUCUGAAACUGUGAGCCAAGAUAAAUCUUUCCUUCAAGUUGUUGCUCUCAGCAUUGUUUUGGCAGCUGUGCAGUUGUCCUGCUCGGGCUCCUUCUUGGAGAGAUUCUCCACAGACCACGUGACAGAUGGACAGCCUCCGUUGAAAUUUAAUCACCACUGUGUAGCAUUCGAAGGAGAUUUAAGAGGAGAUUGGCUCUGUUACUGUGGAAGUGAUAAGGAUGAAGUUGGCCUGUCCUCCUCCUAUCUUUCUUUCUCCUUCUCUCACCCUCUUGCCUUUCCAUCAUGGUUGCUGCCACAAGAAGAUCCUCACCAGAUGUCAGAACCUCCAUCUUGGAAUUUCCAUCUUCCAGAG
rnacentral:lncRNA from 1 species